rnacentral:rRNA from 1 species
AACGUAGGAGACAAACGUUAUCCGGAGCUACUGGGCGUAAAGGGCGUGUAGGUGGUUUUGUAAGUCUGGCGUGAAAUUUUUCGGCUUAACCGGGAAAGGUCGUCGGAUACUGCAAGGCUAGAGGACGGUAGAGGCGUGUGGAAUUCCGGGUGUAGUGGUGAAAUGCGUAGAGAUCCGGAGGAACACCAGUGGCGAAGGCGACACGCUGGGCCGUACCUGACACUGAUGCGCGACAGCAUGGGGAGCAAACAGG